rnacentral:rRNA from 1 species
AACGAACGCUGGCGGCAUGCCUAACACAUGCAAGUCGAACGAGACCUUCGGGUCUAGUGGCGCACGGGUGCGUAACGCGUGGGAACCUGCCUUUAGGUUCGGAAUAACUCAGAGAAAGUUGAGCUAAUACCGGAUGAUGUCUUCGGACCAAAGAUUUAUCGCCUUUAGAUGGGCCCGCGUUGGAUUAGCUAGUUGGUGGGGUAAAGGCCUACCAAGGCGACGAUCCAUAGCUGGUCUGAGAGGAUGAUCAGCCACACUGGGACUGAGACACGGCCCAGACUCCUACGGGAGGCAGCAGUGGGGAAUAUUGGACAAUGGGCGAAAGCCUGAUCCAGCCAUGCCGCGUGAGUGAUGAAGGCCUUAGGGUUGUAAAGCUCUUUUACCCGAGAUGAUAAUGACAGUAUCGGGAGAAUAAGCUCCGGCUAACUCCGUG